UUGUAUGAUAUUAUUGCAUUCUCUUUUAUUUAUGUUUCUUAUGUUUAGAUAAUUAUUUACGUUAUUUCUGCUAGAGUUACUAAUGCUCUUUUGUUUUUGUUUUUGUUUUUGUGUUUGUGUUUGUUUUUCCUUUCAUUCACUGAGCCGAGGGUAGAUUGGAAACAACCUCUCUUCCCUUUCGGGUAGGGGUAAGGCUCGUCUACAUAUUACCCUCCCCAGACCCCACCUGGUGGGAGUAUAGUGGGUAGUUGUUGUU
rnacentral:lncRNA from 1 species